CCAAAGGCUUUCUAGUAUUCCCCCCUUUUAUUGGAUGCGAACAAAAAGGUUCGUAUCUUUUUUU
rnacentral:sRNA from 1 species